rfam:Canis lupus familiaris chromosome 1, whole genome shotgun sequence.
AGGAGGAACAGCCCCAGUGGCGGGGCAGCUCUGGAAACCUGGAUUCAGCUCCGGCAGGAACUCCAGAGCUCUCCGUCUGCAGGGCCUGGAGGCUCCGGGGCGGG